AUCGGAAAGUUGGCGGGGCCGCGGGAGCUGGGUCUGGAGACCUGCUGUUGGCCGGAGGUGGCACAGAUCUAGUGUGGGGAAGGCGGCGGGGCUCAGGCCUGCCUGCGAAGCAUUGUCUUCAUAAUGGUAGAGGACGAGCUGGUGCUAUUCGAUAAAACCAUAAAUGAAUUUUGGAAUAAAUUCAAAAAUACUGACACUUCCUGUCAUAUGGUGGGGCUCAGAGAUACCUACAAGGACUCCAUCAAAGCAUUUGCAGAAAAGCUGUCUGUGAAAUUAAAGGAAGAAGAACGAAUGAUUGAGAUGUGUCUGGAAUAUCAAAAUCAGAUCCGCAGGCAGAAUAUACUCAUUCAAGAAAAAAAAGAUAACUUGUUAAAGUUGAUGGCUGAAGUAAAAGGCAAAAAGCAGGAAUUGGAAGUACUGACUGCAAAUAUCCAGGAUCUGAAGGAAGAGUAUUCUAGGAAGAAGGAAACUAUUUCUACGGCUAGCAAAGCUAAUGCAGAGAGGUUGAAAAGGCUGCAGAAAUCUGCAGACUUGUAUAAAGAUCGACUUGGACUAGAAAUUCGAAAAAUUUAUGGUGAUAAGUUGCAGUUUAUAUUCACUAAUAUUGACCCUAAACAUCCUGAGAGCCCAUUUAUGUUUUCCUUGCACCUAAAUGAAGCAAGGGAGUAUGAAGUGUCAGAUAGUGCUCCUCACCUUGAAUGCCUGGCAGAAUUUCAGGAGAAUGUUUGAUGAAGAAUGGGCAGCCGUGUAGGACUGUGAUUGGACAAAGAGUGAGAAGGUAGUAGGAGGCAUCUGCGUGUCUUGCGUUAGCAAGAAGAAGUUCUGAAGGAUCUUGUAAGCCUGCAAGUUGGAGAAAUGAGGAUUGGGGAUGAGAGAAGAAAUGGCAACUAGGCAAGCUGGAAGUAGCAGCUGAGGAUAAGAUCUAA